rnacentral:rRNA from 1 species
UAUAAGUAUAAACGACUCGAUCGUGAAACCGCGAACGGCUCAUUAUAACAGCUGUAAUUUACUUGAUCUUGACAAUCCUACUUGGAUAACUGAGGUAAUUCUUGAGCUAAUACAUGCACCAAAGCUCUGACCUUACGGGAAGAGUGCAUUUAUUAGAACAAAACCAAGCGGCUUCGGUCGUUUUUUGUUGACUCAGAAUAACUUAGCUGAUCGCAUGGUCUUGUACCGGCGACGUGUCUUUCAAGCAUCUGCCUUAUCAACUUUCGAUGGUAGUGUAUCUGACUACCAUGGUGGUGACGGGUAACGGAGGAUAAGGGUUCGACUCCGGAGAAGGGGCCUGAGAAAUGGCCACUACGUCUAAGGAUGGCAGCAGGCGCGCAAAUUACCCACUCUCAGAAUGAGGAGGUAGUGACGAAAAAUAACGAGACUGUUCUCUAUGAGGCCAGUCAUCGGAAUGGGUACAAUCUAAACCCUUUAACGAGUAUCUAUGAGAGGGCAAGUCUGGUGCCAG